rnacentral:rRNA from 1 species
CCUACGGGUGGCUGCAGUGGGGAAUAUUGCACAAUGGGCGCAAGCCUGAUGCAGCCAUGCCGCGUGUGUGAAGAAGGCCCUCGGGUUGUAAAGCACUUUCAGCGGGGAGGAAGGCGUUAAGGUUAAUAACCUUGGCGAUUGACGUUACCCGCAGAAGAAGCACCGGCUAACUCCGUGCCAGCAGCCGCGGUAAUACGGAGGGUGCAAGCGUUAAUCGGAAUUACUGGGCGUAAAGCGCACGCAGGCGGUCUGUCAAGUCGGAUGUGAAAUCCCCGGGCUCAACCUGGGAACUGCAUUCGAAACUGGCAGGCUAGAGUCUUGUAGAGGGGGGUAGAAUUCCAGGUGUAGCGGUGAAAUGCGUAGAGAUCUGGAGGAAUACCGGUGGCGAAGGCGGCCCCCUGGACAAAGACUGACGCUCAGGUGCGAAAGCGUGGGGAGCAAACAGGAUUAGAUACCCUUGUAGUC